GCGCACCAGGCGAGAAAACUUCACACUGUGCGAAAGCACGAUGAGGGAAUCCCAAGUGCUUGCACGUAAGUGUAAGCUGUUUCUCUGUUUAAAACGCAGAGAGAGUAAGGGCUGGGUAAGACGGGUGCCAGCCGCCGCGGUAAUACCUGCAGCCCAAGUGGUGACCGUUAUUAUUGGGCCUAAAACGUCCGUAGCCGGUUUAAUAAAUGCCUGGGUAAAUCGUGUAGCUUAACUAUACGAAUUCCGGGUAGACUGUUAAACUCGAGACCGGGAGAAGUUAGAGGUACUCCUGGGGUAGAGGUGAAAUUCUGUAAUCCUAGGGGGACCACCAGUGGCGAAGGCGUCUAACUAGAACGGGUCUGACGGUGAGGGACGAAGCCCUGGGGCGCAAACGGGAUUAGAUACCCGGGUAGU
rnacentral:rRNA from 1 species